GGGGAUAUAGCUCAGUUGGUAGAGUGCUUGCCUUGCAUGUACAUAGGCCCUGGGUUCAAACCCCAGCACCA
rnacentral:tRNA from 1 species